CUAUAUUUAUACAUGCAUACUCCUGCCUCAAACGGUAUCUUCCAAGCACCAUUUUGCAUUUUCUGAAAGGAAAAGAAAAGUUCAACCAUGACUGAUGUGACGAUGAAUUUAAGACCUGCACUUUAUAAAGUAUGUUUCCAGGCAGGACGCCCAUUAACUUUUUUGUUUGUUUUUGUUUUUGUUUUUGUAUGAUAUGUAUUUUUUACCGUUGUCCGAAGUUGCUGUUUUAUUUUCCAUUGUUCUGAUUUAGAUUGAAAUAAAAGGGAUUGGUAGUACUAUGUAUCUAAAAGGUAUAUUAUUUUAACCAAACAGUCCUACAGCCUAGGUGUCAGUGGUUCCUCACCAUUUGCCAAGCUAAGUCCUUGCCUUCCUGACAGUGAAAACAAAAAGUAUAGUUUGUGUCUACUUUUAUAGUACUGUGUUACUGUAUUAUUUGUUUGCCGUAUGUAACAGAUACACAACAGUAAACAACAUUUACCUUCUGCUUGUCUAAAACAUUUCUUUCACUCCCCCGGUCUAGAUUCGCGUCGAGGACUUGAAGGUCCCGGAAGAAGUUUUCCUUCAUGCGUGAUUGAUACAGUAGUGUCCAAAGGUCUGAGAGCGCACUCGAAUGCGUCAAUACCGAGUCAUUUUCAUACAGUUAAAGGGGUCCCUGGCAGCAAAAUGUUUCGGACCCCCUUCUUAUCAGACAAAACAGCAUUGCCGUGGCCACCAUGGACACCAAGAGACUCCGUGAAGUACCACAGACCACAGACUUCAGCCAACGUUCUACAGUUUUGCCGUUGUGGAAGUUUUAUCAAGAUGAAAACUGGGUAAGAGGUUGCUGGAGUAGAAGGGAGGAUUGAAAAAGCACCAGAAUGUGUGUUUACGGAGAAAAACGACAUCCUGCAAAUUUCAUUGACGCAUUAAUAUGUCAAUUAAAAGACCUUAACUAUCUCUAACAUUCUGACAUCUCUACAGCUUUUAGUUUAAUUCCAUCAAUUCUUUUGUUAAUUGAUACGAUGGACAGGAGAAAUCAAAAUACGAUUAAAACGACCACAGCUUUCCACUCCAACCUCUCUCGCAAACCUGCAGAAUUUAUUGUUAAAGCAGCUUUAAUAUUCUUUGACGAAUUUACGGUGGAUAACGUUUAAU
ensembl:lncRNA